ACCACAGCCAUCCAGACGGUUUGUGUGUGCAACAUCAGCAGUUAAGCAGCGAGUGGCGGAGGGAUCCCAGGUGCAGGGAACGUGGAUAGGAAUUCCAGUUCCCUCGACCGGGCCGUGGAGGCGAACAUGCGGGGCACAGGAUCUUCUACAGCAGAUGAAGUCACUCAGUACGCCACUGUCGCAACAGCUCUGUACCACCCCUGUAGUCCUCGGACACCAACUGCGCCUGAAGUUGACUGUACCAAAGCUUUCCAGACAUAGCGACCCCAGGUCCGAAGACUUCCUCAUCGACUGCGACGCUUGCCAAACGGCCGUCCGAGUACUGCAGGCAGCUCCUGGCUUACUGUCCUUCUGGUAACAGAUUUCCAGACGAUUGAACUGAUUGAUCUGAGUGUGGUGAUAGAAAAGUGUUAUCGCUGAGAACCCGAUAGACUUGCAGUCUCUCUUUCCUACUGUGAGGGAACCCGAAUAUGGUAUUGUAUAGCGCGUACAAUAAAUGCAUCUUGACGACUGUUGCUGGCAGCGUACAGAUUGCGAUGCAGUGGUCUUUUGCAGUACGGCGGUGUAUGCAAAUAAACAUGCUAUCGUUGUUUAA